GGCAGGUGUAGGUGGAAUCUAAGUGAUCAGCAGAAUGCGCGGUGAGCCCAGCGUCCUCCUACACCGCCAUCUUCCCUAGACUCCUGUAAGAAGACAACUUGGGAGUCCCUAUGGAGGGUUUGAUGCUCUGUUUCUCAUGUGCAUCAGUAUUGAAACGCUGGCCAUGAUCCCGUUCUACAGGCAGAGAGAACAUAGGGCAUCUUUAUUGUGUUUCCCAAUCACACACAGUCCCAACAAUCUCACAGCUGCCCACUUUGCUACAUCUAUCCCCACGGCUCUGGCUGGUAUCCCGUUGUCACAGUUGUCCCGCUGUCCCGUUGUCACAGUUGAGUCGUGUUCCUAAGGGAGGAAGCCAUCUCUUGCUAACACACCUCCCACACUGCUUCCCUCUCUCCUGCACACUGGGGGUUUCCUCGGGACCCGGCCAUCCUGUGCACCUGCAGCUGUUUCUCCCAGCCCACAGGGAGCAAUCACUUCCCAUCCAGCACCACCUGUUUUGUCUUCCUAUGCCUAGCAUUGCACAUGCCAGCGCCUGCAGACCUUCCCUUGUCUCUGUCAGCUGAGUCUGAGUGGGCUUCCUCUACCACUCAUCCCUAAUUCUCAUCUCAUUAAUGAACGACACUCACAUCGCUGAAGCUCACAGUGAAGUCUCAACCCCCAGUAUGUGGACUACGUGACAACAUUUUACAGACACAUUUGAUUACUCCCUUUAUUUGAACAUUACUUCCUUCCUCCUCCCACUGUCUGGGCCACUGCUCAUGUUGGCUGGUCCUCAUCUUCUUCCCACUCCCCAUCUGCUUUCCGCCCGUCCUUACUCCGGGGUGAUCUCAGCCAGCCUCAGUCUCCUAUAUACUUGCAGCUGGGGCCUCCAAGACUUUAUGCCCUGCUUCCAGCUCUUCAUGUCUCCAGACGCCUGACUCAGUCUACCACACAGGUGCUAUCCUCCCCAGACUCUGCUACCUCCCUGAAGGCAUCUCCUCUUUCCCUCCCAUUGUUUACUGGGCUGCAGUCACACUGACCCCUCACUGCUCCCUGAGCAUGUCAGGCACAUAUUCCUGCUUCAGGUCUUUGCGGUCACUUUUCCUCUCUCUGUCCGGAAUGUUCUCCCACAUGCCAACAUGACAUACUCCCUCAUUUCCAUCAUAUCUUUGCUCUGACAUCACCUGAUCAGUGGAGUCUCUGCUAGCUCUCUAUCUAAAGCUGAAAACUGCUCCUUCUCCGACCUGAAGACCCGAUAUCCCUUCCCCGCAUUCUUUUUCUUCCUGGCCCUUGGCAUCAUCUAUUUUUCUUGCUUGCUGUCUGUCACCUGCUUCGGUCCCUGCCAGAAUGUUGGCUCCAUGGGGUCCAAAGACCAAACUAGCUUUGUUUAGGGCUGUUUCCUUAGGGCUCUAGAACAGUGCCUAACUCCUACAAAGGCUGAAACACCAUUUGCUGAGUAAAUGUUGGGAUUUCGUAUUAAUUUGCUGGGUCUGCCAUCACAAAUUACCACAGACUGGGUAGCUUAAGCAACAGAAAUUGAUUUAUUUAUUUUCUCACACUUUAGAUCAAGGUGUGGAAGGGUGGGUCUCCUCUCCCCGUGACUGGUGGAAGACCUCAUUCCCACUGUCUUUACGUGGUCUUCCUUCUGUGUGUGUAGGUGCCCACUCUCUUUUUAUAGGACACCAGUUAUCAGAGUAGGGUUCCACCCCCCAAAUCAGCUCAUUCGACCUCCACUUUAUCUUUCAAGAUCUGGUAUCCACUUAUGGUCACAUGGGUAGUUAGGACUUCAACGUAUGGAUUUUGGGGGUAAAUCCAUUCUAUAACAGGUUUCUGUCUGUUGUACCUAGUCACUACCUACAUGGGUUUUUUUUCCCUGUAUGCCCUUGUCCCCAUUAUUUGCUCACACAGGGCUAAUUCCAGUUUGCCCUUAGCCCAAAUUAUAAAUCUGUUUAUUUAUUUGUAUAGGCUUGCAUCUUCCCUCUACCUCUAUACUCCAAGUUCUUGGCUGGCACUGGAAUUACAUCCUUAGAAGGCGCAUCAUAACCUCCAGUCUAUGCAAGUCAGAAUCAACUUCCAUCCACCUCCACCCUCUAUGAGACCUAGGACGUGGUGCAGCUCCCAUGGGGAAUAUCAGUUGUGUCUCUACCAAUGAUGCAGAGAAAGACAAGGUCCCUAUGGAUGCAAGAGGUCCUCCUUCUUUACCAGAUCCACCCUGUAGGCCCUUCUGCACAGAUCCCCUUUAUCACUGUUCAUGGACUCUAUGAGCCACCUCCAGCUCCUUGGUGUCCUCAGGGGCAGGGCCCACCACCUCCACCUCGACAAUUUAGAGCCUGAGUGUGGAAGCGCGGGAGAGAGCGGGAGACACCGAAUCUGAGGCAAGC